rnacentral:rRNA from 1 species
AAAUUGAAGAGUUUGAUCAUGGCUCAGAUUGAACGCUGGCGGCAGGCCUAACACAUGCAAGUCGAACGGUAACAGGAAACAGCUUGCUGUUUCGCUGACGAGUGGCGGACGGGUGAGUAAUGUCUGGGAAACUGCCUGAUGGAGGGGGAUAACUACUGGAAACGGUAGCUAAUACCGCAUAACGUCGCAAGACCAAAGAGGGGGA